ACCAAGUCUACGAUCUAUAGCUGGUUUUAGAGGAUGAUCAGCAACACUGGGACUGAGACACGGCCCAGACUCCUACGGGAGGCAGCAGUGGGGAAUCUUAGACAAUGGGCGCAAGCCUGAUCUAGCCAUGCCGCGUGUGUGAUGAAGGUCUUAGGAUCGUAAAGCACUUUCGCCAGGGAUGAUAAUGACAGUAC
rnacentral:rRNA from 1 species